GACGUAGGGCGCGAGCGUUGUCCGGAUUUAUUGGGCGUAAAGAGCUCGUAGGCGGCUUGUUGCGUCGGCUGUGAAAACCCAUGGCUCAACCGUGGGCUUGCAGCCGAUACGGGCAGGCUGGAGUUCGGUAGGGGAGACGUGGAAUUCCAUGUGGUAGCGGUGAAAUGCGCAGAUAUCAGGAGGAACGCCGGUGGCGAAGGCGGGUCUCUGGGCCGAUACUGACGCUGAGGAGCGAAAGCGUGGGGAGCGAACAGG
rnacentral:rRNA from 1 species